AAGACACCGCGAGCGCGCCACACACAGUGUCUGGAAAUGAUGGGGUUAAGGCGGGAGAGCUUCGCGGAGGAGGUGAGGCUUAAAACGGGCAGGCUGUUCCGGCCGGGGAGAGUGCGACUAGGUUCGCGCCAGAUUUGCGGGGCGGCGUGCGCAAAGGGAUGGUAUUGAGCGGAGAAGCAGAGCAGAAAAUCCAGCCUGCACGUCCUAGGCGCCGGCCUACGCCCACGCGCGCCUGGGGCCACUGUCUGCCUUCCCUGUGCGAUGGUGUCUGGACCAAUGGGGGCGCUCUCUUUCUAACCUCCCCAGUGGUCUUGAGGGCCUCAGCUUGCGUCUCAGGAGGACAAACUGAGGAGAGCCACCAGGCAAGGUCACCUUGUUGGCCCACGUCAGAGCCAAGGUGGAAAUUAUGUCCCUGUCCAGCUAAGCCAGCGAGCUUAUCAUGCCGACCGCCGUCGGUUUUCUAAAUUCGCUGCUUGCCCUGGAGUUCCCCUGAUUCCAAUCGCGCUGGUGCUGGAGUGGCCAAAGAGCAAGAUGCUGCACUUCAGAGAUGGCUAUACUAGCCUCGCCCCCAGCGACCCGGGCGAGCUCCAGAAUGGGGAACCGAUUUAGACACGCCUGGGUCGAUGACGACAACAGGGAACAAGACAACAAUGGCUUCCUCUGGGGAUUUCCCUUCCUGGGCAGCCCGUAGCGCGCACAGAGCAUUCCGGACUGCCCUGGAGGGGGCGCGGAUAUUGGCACGUGCCGGACCCGCCACCGGGUGGGAAGCCAGCAGGCCUGGAAGUGAAAGGAACGUCGGAGCGGAUGGAUGACAGCCUCACUGUGUAUCUGGCUGCCGAAUACACCGCCUCCAGAGCCAGCAGGGGGAAGACCUACAGUUGCCUUCGCUUGGGAAGCUACCUAAGAAAAGCUUGGCAGUAAACCCCUUGUUUGUGCCUGUUUCUCUGGGAGCCACCAAGAGGCCCUACCGGAAUUUUCACAUGGUCUGUAUGGAUGACAGACAUGGGGGAUCAUGCUGUAUGUACUUGGAGACGAUGUUGGAAGGUCAGCCUAAGGCUGGUGUCCCUUAAUGGAACUGUCAAGUUUGGUCAACAUGCCUCCUACCCACCCCCUCCACUGCCACCCUAGCUGGGGAUCACCUGAUGGGUGAAGCAGACAUGCUCCCUCUCCUAAUAAUUUCUAGAGAGUUCUCUUCUAUGGUUGUUUGUUAAAGCAGUGCAAUACUGCAAUACUGAUUCGCGGACAUGUCCAGCUACCUGCCCUGCUGUGCCCUCUCUAGGAAUCUUCCCCUAAGGUGACUCGUUCAUUUCUUAGUCCCAAAGGCUCAAGAGAUGCAGGAAGCUAUAGAUGUCCCCAGGAGGACAAUUCAGAGCCAGAUUCCGGAGGGCCUCUGUCAGAACAGACUAGAAACUGCAGGGUAUCCAGGUUAAAAGUCCACCCUGGACCAGCUCCCAUCGGGAGUGGAAGUAUUGAAGUCAGGAUUAAAGCUGGGCUCAGGCAAAAUUUGCAAUCUAAGCAUGCUGUGCCCCAGCGCCCCACUAGUGGCUGCCACAUGGUCCUCAAUUAAGCCAUUCCAAACAGGAGAAGUGGGCUGAGGCUGCAGCAGCGCAGAGGAGGCGGGCUCAUAGUUGGUAAUAAAGAGGAUGACAAGAGCCUGCAAUUUAAAUCUCCUCUGCCCCAGGGAGCCUUCCCUGGCUCUUAACUAGGUCAGGUCUCACACGAAACACCCUCCUUCCUGUAUCUACUGACGCCUGGACAUACACCACCCUGAACUGUAACUGCCAUUUAACAACUGUUUGAUUCUUCACCAAGCUCCAGGGAUUUUUUUUUCCCUACUUCACUGCCAGCCUAUUUUCUCUCCUUGUUGCCCCUUGUCUUCUCCAUCUUUUAAUGAUGGAUAAGCCCAGGACUUGGCACUCACUCCUAUGGUGCUAUCCUAUGGCCUCAAGCCUUUAAAUAGUACCGAGUAACAACAGACAGCCAUGGCCAUGGAGGCCAGAUGUGGGAUGCUGAGGAACCAUCAUCCUAUUCUAUUUUAUGUUUGAAAUUUAUUUUAAAAGAAUCCAAGUAAAUGGCAUCUACGAAUGAUGGUUCCCUCCAAACUCCCUCCCCGGUGUCAUCUUGAUGUCUCAAGUGUCUUGCAGGGGGUGCCUCAGGUUUUAUAAAGUUAAAACUGUGAUGGUUUGUUUAUGCUCAGCCCAGGAAGUGGCACUAUUAGAAAGUGUGGCCCUGUUGGAGUAGGUGUGUCACUGUGGGUGUGGGCUUGAAGCCCCUCAUCCUAGCUGCCUGGAAGCCAGUAUUCUGCUAGUAGCCUUCAGAUGAAGAUGUAGAACUCUCAGCUCCUCCUGCACCAUGCCUGCCUGGAUGCUGCCGUGUUCCUACCUUGCUAACGGACUGAACCUCUGAACCUGUAAGCCAGUCCCAAUUAAAUGUUGUCUUUAUAAG